rnacentral:lncRNA from 1 species
UUCAUUGAUGUGAAAAUGUAUAUACAUGCAGAAAAUGGCUUGAAGGAAUGAUAGAGUUUAUUCUAUUUUAUUAGAAUGAUGAGAAAUAUUUUUUAAUAGUCCAGAUCUUCUGUGAUAUUAUUUUCAUAUAAAAAAUUAGUUCCCAGUUUUUCUUCAAGGGGGAUACUGUUUCCCUUUCUGAGAAGAUAAUCAAUGACCCUCCAAGACUUGAGAGGAGUGACCUGAGUUUAGGAGAUAGUAGAACCCACCUAGAUCAUGGUCGUGCCAGCAAAUCCGUGUGAAUGCCACUGGAUUAAAAGAAGGAAGUUUAGUUGAAUGGUUACUACCCUCAUUCACAGGAGCAGUUAUCGGCACUUCCACUGAGGCAAUGGCAGUGGGAAAAGGAAGGCAAAUAUUUAUUCACCCAUCCAUAAACUCAUAAAAAUUGCCAACUUUACAGAGAAACUGUUUUUUCCGUUUUUGAAGAAAGCCUAGCUUGUCUACCUGGGAGCUCUUAUUCAAGCCUUCACUUAAGCUCUUGAAUCCUCCAACGAAGUGCUGCUCAAACCUUCUUGUCCCGAAUUACACUGUGUUCUUGGAUACACUUGCAUCCCACAUACAUUUAUUGUGUUCUAAAUGUUUCUGGGGUU